GUAGGUGAACCUGCGGAAGGAUCAUUACUUAGAACUCGGUCGCAAGGCCGGCUGGAAGCCCGGAGGCAUGUCCCCCGGGCCGACAGUGAACCCAUUGUGAAAACCCCUUGUUGCUUCGGCAGCUCCGCCCCGUCCGCGGGGAGGGUCAGCCUGCCGACGGCGCCACAGAAAACUCUUUAUUGAAAGGAAGUAUCCUAAACGUCUGACCGCGCAGUCGAAUGACUAUAAAACUUUCAACAACGGAUCUCUUGGUUCCC
rnacentral:misc_RNA from 1 species